rnacentral:lncRNA from 1 species
UUUUGUUUCUGAUAAGGAGGAAGCUCAACACUACUAUCCGAGCUAACCAAAUUAGGAGGAGGUUUGAGAUCUAAAUCCUGAAUAUCUUCUGCACAGAGAAGAUUUGUGAUGAUUUCAUCAGAUCUAAAUCUGUUUCCACUCCCAGCAUCCCCGUCUUUUUCACGUUCAGCUGACAAUGAAGCCUGUUUAUCAAUCUUACCGGUAUCAACUGUUGAUUCAUAACUACUUUUUUCAUUUGCCUCAAGUUUGGCAACAACGGGAGGAACGACCACAGAACUGGAUGCCUCGGAACAAUCUUUCAUGACAAAGCCCUGUGAUAUGAAGGGUUUGCAGAGAGUUUCACAAUUGGGCUUGCCCUCGUCACAGCUCCCUUGAUCACAAGGUUCGAAUUUGGGAAGUUCAUUGUCAUUCUGUAAUUCGUGUUUGACAAUUGAUUUCAUCUCUUUUGCAGUUAAAUUGGAUGGUUGGUCCUGAGUUUCCUUGUCGUUCAACAAAUUUCCAGCAACUGUUGCUAACAGAUUGAAUGCAAACAUAUCGUUCCCACGAUCGAUGUUGCCUGGAGCCGCACGUCUCCCCUGUGA